rnacentral:rRNA from 1 species
CCUACGGGUGGCAGCAGUAGGGAAUAUUGCUCAAUGGGGGAAACCCUGAAGCAGCAACGCCGCGUGGAGGAUGAAGGUUUUCGGUUUGUUAACUCCUUUUGUUAGAGAAGAGAAUUACGGUAUCUAACCAAUAUUCACCGGCCAACUCCGUUCCAGCAGCCGCGGUAAUACGGAGGGUGCAAGCGUUACUCGGAAUCACUGGGCGUAAAGGGCGCGUAGGGGGGUUAGCAAGUCAGAUGUGAAAUCCUUGGGGUUAACCGUAGAACUGCAUUUGAAACUGUUAUUCUAGAGUUUGGGAGAGGUAGGUGGAAUUCUUGGUGUAGAGGUGAAAUGCGUAGAGAUCAAGAGGAAUACUGAUUGCGAAGGCGGCCUGCUAGAACAUAACUGACGCUGAUGCGCGAAAGCGUGGGGAGCAAACAGGAUUAGAUACCCCUGUAGUC